GGAGUUUUCCUGCAGGGAUUAGAGUGGUUUCUAGGCAUCUUGGGAAGAGCAAAUCAGCUUCAGCGACCACAGGAGUUUCUCCUCCAAUUGGGAGCAGGAGAGAUGAUUCUUUGCUGCUGCAGAAUGAUGGGAUUCAAAGUGCUAUCCUGCAUUGCAAGAAAUCUUUCAAUUCUUCUAGAGGUAAAAAAAAUCAAUAACCCUUUUGUUCACUUUCUAGAAUUCAUGCUUUUUUAGUCUAUUUUUGUUAUUUAUAAUCAAAAUCUAACCAUUCUUCUCAUGUUGGCCUUUUCAGAUUCUUCUUUAAUGUCAAGAUUUUCAAGUGACCCUUUGCACGAGAAAUCAAUGGCUUCACCAAGAAUUUCAUCAAGUGAAGAGAAAGCAACCAAUUAAGCUUUAUUUCAUG
rnacentral:lncRNA from 1 species